GAAGGAUCAUCACCGAUCUUCAUACCAAAAACAAAAAAGUGCGAGAAUUCCACUCGCUACUUACACUGUGAACCUGUACCUGACCGUGGGGGUCGAAGCCUGGGCUCCGUUAAAUGGGUGGAUGAUGUUUCGUUCAUUGCCCGGCCCCCCGUUUGUUUUCUUUUUACACUUUUCUGUUUUUGUCGUUUUGACUUUGUCACAAUAUCCAAACUCAAAAGACAACUUUUAACGGUGGAUCUCUAGGCUCGUGCAUCGAUGAAGAACGCAGCCAGCUGCGAUAAGUAGUGUGAAUUGCAGAAUUCAGUGAAUCAUCGAAUCUUUGAACGCAAAUGGCGCUCUUGGUCAUACCGGGAGCAUGUCUGUCUGAGUGUUGGUUUUAAAAACGAGAAUCGUGCUUUUCCGAGCACGGCGUUGGGAUGUCAUGGCCGUGCUGCCGUGUUUCCCGAAAUGCAGUGGGAAUCGAGAGUCACGAGCGAUUCACGAAGCCAAAAUUUACUCGACUUCGUGCUCGCUGCCGACCUCGGUGAUCCCCCAUCACGUGUUGCACUUCUUUACACUCUUGACCUCAGAUCAGGCAAGAUUACCCGCUGAAUUUAAGCAUAUUACUAAGCGGAGGAAGAGAAACUAACAAGGAUUUCCCCAGUAAUGGCGAAUGAAGAGGAAACAGCUCAAAUUUGAAAUCUCCG
rnacentral:rRNA from 1 species